rnacentral:rRNA from 1 species
GAUGAACGCUAGCUACAGGCUUAACACAUGCAAGUCGAGGGGUAACGAGAGGGAAGCUUGCUUUCCUUGUCGACGACCGGCGCACGGGUGAGUAACGCGUAUCCAACCUGCCCCCAACUAGGGAAUAACCUUGCGAAAGUAAGACUAAUACCCUAUAAUUUCCUCAGAUGUCAUCUGACGAGGAAUAAAGAUUUAUCGGUUGUGGAUGGGGAUGCGUCUGAUUAGCUUGUUGGCGGGGUAACGGCCCACCAAGGCAACGAUCAGUAGGGGUUCUGAGAGGAAGGUCCCCCACAUUGGAACCGAGACACGGUCCAAACUCCUACGGGAGGCAGCAGUGAGGAAUAUUGGUCAAUGGGCGGAAGCCUGAACCAGCCAAGUAGCGUGCAGGAUGACGGCCCUAUGGGUUGUAAACUGCUUUUAUACAGGAAUAAAGUUAGCCACGUGUGGUUAUUUGUAGGUACUGUGUGAAUAAGGACCGGCUAAUUCCGUGCCAGCCGCCGCGGUAA